UAACUGUGCAAAGGUAGCAUAAUCAAUAGUUUUUUAAUUGAAGGCUUGUAUGAAGGGUUGGACAAAGAAUAAUCUGUUUUUAUUUUUUUUUUUGAAUUUAACUUUUAAGUGAAAAGGCUUAAGUAAAUUUAAGGGACGAUAAGACCCUAUAAAUCUUUAUAUUAAUUUGUUUUUUAGCAGUUAGUUAAAGUAAAUAGCGAAAAAAGAUAAAGAAUAUUUUGUUGGGGUGACAAAAAUAUAAAUGUUAACUGUUUUAAAAUUUAAACAAAGUUGUUUGGAAGUAUAAUAAAUCCUUUAUAGAUUAAAAAUUUAAGUUACUUUAGGGAUAACAGCGUUAUUUUUUUUGAGAGUUCAUAUCGAAAAAAAAGUUUGCGACCUCGAUGUUGAAUUAAAAGUUCUUUGUGGGGCAGUUGCCACAAGAGAAAGUCUGUUCAACUUUUAAAUUUUUACG
rnacentral:rRNA from 1 species